UGGAGGGGGAUAACUACUGGAAACGGUAGCUAAUACCGCAUAACGUCGCAAGACCAAAGAGGGGGACCUUCGGGCCUCUUGCCAUCGGAUGUGCCCAGAUGGGAUUAGCUAGUAGGUGGGGUAACGGCUCACCUAGGCGACGAUCCCUAGCUGGUCUGAGAGGAUGACCAGCCACACUGGAACUGAGACACGGUCCAGACUCCUACGGGAGGCAGCAGUGGGGAAUAUUGCACAAUGGGCGCAAGCCUGAUGCAGCCAUGCCGCGUGUAUGAAGAAGGCCUUCGGGUUGUAAAGUACUUUCAGCGGGGAGGAAGGGAGUAAAGUUAAUACCUUUGCUCAUUGACGUUACCCGCAGAAGAAGCACCGGCUAACUCCGUGCCAGCAGCCGCGGUAAUACGGAGGGUGCAAGCGUUAAUCGGAAUUACUGGGCGUAAAGCGCACGCAGGCGGUUUGUUAAGUCAGAUGUGAAAUCCCCCG
rnacentral:rRNA from 1 species